rnacentral:rRNA from 1 species
UACGAAGGGGGCUAGCGUUGUUCGGAAUCACUGGGCGUAAAGGGCGCGUAGGCGGCUUUGUAAGUCGGGGGUGAAAGCCUGUGGCUCAACCACAGAAUUGCCUUCGAUACUGUAGAGCUUGAGACCGGAAGAGGUUAGUGGAACUGCGAGUGUAGAGGUGAAAUUCGUAGAUAUUCGCAAGAACACCAGUGGCGAAGGCGG